UAACCACUCAAGCCUAGCUUGGUAUUGGGGUUCGCGUGCUCGCGGCCCUUAAAAUCAGUGGCGGUGCCGUUUGGCUCUAAGCGUAGUAAUUCUCUCGCUAUGGAGUCCCAGCGGUGACCUGCCAGAACCCCCCAUAUUCUUA
rnacentral:misc_RNA from 1 species